rnacentral:rRNA from 1 species
AGAGUUUGAUCAUGGCUCAGAAUCAACGCUGGCGGCGCGCCUAACACAUGCAAGUCGAACGAGAAAGCGGGGGCAACCUCGUGAGUAAAGUGGCGUACGGGUGAGUAACACGUGGAUGAUCUACCUCUUUGUGGGGGAUAACCCUGGGAAACCGGGGCUAAUACCGCAUAAGUCCGAGAGGAGAAAGCAGCAAUGCGCAGAGAGAGGAGUCCGCGGCCGAUUAGCUAGUUGGUAGGGUAAAGGCCUACCAAGGCGACGAUCGGUAGCCGGCCUGAGAGGGCACACGGCCACACUGGCACUGAAACACGGGCCAGACUCCUACGGGAGGCAGCAGUGGGGAAUCUUGCACAAUGGGGGCAACCCUGAUGCAGCGACGCCGCGUGAGCGAUGAAGCCCUUCGGGGUGUAAAGCUCUUUCGGCAGGGAAGAUGAUGACGGUACCUGCAGAAGCAGCUGCGGCUAACUACGUGCCAGCAGCCGCGGUAAUACGUAGGCAGCAAGCGUUGUUCGGAGUUACUGGGCGUAAAGGGUGUGUAGGCGGUUCUCUAAGUUUGGUGUGAAAUCUCCCGGCUCAACUGGGAGGGUGCGCCGAAAACUGGAGGGCUAGAGUACUGGAUGGGAGAGUGGAAUUCCUGGUGUAGCGGUGAAAUGCGUAGAUAUCAGGAGGAACACCUGUGGUGUAGACGGCUCUCUGGACAGUAACUGACGCUGAGACACGAAAGCGUGGGUAGCAAACAGGAUUAGAUACCCUAGUAGUCC